GACGAACGCUGGCGGCGUGCUUAACACAUGCAAGUCGAACGGAAAGGCCCUGCUUUUGUGGGUUGCUCGAGUGGCGAACGGGUGAGUAACACGUGAGUAACCUGCCCUUGACUUUGGGAUAACUUCAGUAAACUGGGGCUAAUACCGGAUAGGCGCUCCUUCUGCAUGUUGUGGGUUGGAAAGUUUCGGCGGUGGGGGUUGGACUCGCGGUGUAUCGGGUUGUUGGUGUGGUAGUGGAUCACCAAGGCUUUGACGGGUAGCUGGCCUGAGAGGGUGACCGGGAACAUGGAGACGGAGAUGCGGCCCAAACUGAUGAGGGGGGCAAAAGUGGGAAAUAGUGCACAAUGGGCGAAAGCCAGAUGCAGAAACGCCGCGGGCGGGAUGACGACCUUCGGGGUGUAAUCCGGUAUCGCCUGUGGCGAAGCGUGAGUGACGGUAAUGGGUAAAGAAGCACCGGCUAACUACGUG
rnacentral:rRNA from 1 species